rnacentral:lncRNA from 1 species
UUUUUUUAUUCGAGGCGAUCUGUUGGAUCCGUCUACCUUUUAUCUGUUGACGUUACAGUUGAUGAUGUCUUUCUAUAUAUGCCCGCUGUUGUGCCCCGUGCUUCUUAUAGUAGUAGUAGUACAUACUCCAUACAUAGUAGCAGGUGGAUUACUAAAAAAAAUCUGAGUCUAGGUUUUUUUUAGUGUAGGUUUUUUUUCGAGGGAAAAAUAAUUUUGAGUCUGGUUUGUUUUUGGAGUAACAUUUUUGGAUCACUAAUCAAGUAAUGAGGGUCGGGCUCUCGUGCUGGGUUCCCUGCACGCAGUAGCCUGCAGGGCCAAUCAAACGCCAACAGCUGUAUUUGUGGACCCCACCACCCAUAAAACAAGUUCCUUCUAAUUUACCGACUGUAUUUUCUCUUGCCUUAUCCACGCGACCAAUGCCGUGAGGUCCAUCCGACCAGACCAUGGCCGGCGGCAAGAUAGAAGCUUUUUUUGAUAAAGGGCGUUUUUAUUAUCUCAAAAUGUAGCAUCAAGCGAUACAAAGCACUUAGAGUACCACCCGGCCUCUGCAUAACUAGGAUGCACACAGCCAAACAAAAAAAAGCUGACAAGAAAAAAAACCCGACAAUUCGGCAACAGUAGAGUCCUACAGACCGACACUAUGCUUAUGUCGAAACGGUUGGUGGACCGAUCCGGAGAUUAUGCUGCCACCCAUGUUGGGUAAAAACCUCCAUAGCCACCUGCUCCAAUCGCGUACACACCGCCUUGAAUAGCGGUAGGUACUCCGCACGUUGUAGCAUAGACCACAUACGAAGCGAGUGCGUACAACGGAAAAUAACCUGCAGAGGAGAAGCAUUUUUGUCAUUAAAAACCAAAUCGUUUCUACAUAGCCAAAGCGACCAUAGUAAGGCGUACGCUCCCACCCUUAUUAGCGUUUUGAAUCUAUUUGAAAUACCAUCCAACCAAUGACCAAAAAUAUUGGCAAUACUUGUGGGCGGAUACAAAUUUGACGCUAUUUGGAUGAAUGACCAUGUAGAAUGCGCAAACUUGCAUUGAAAAAAAAGGUGUUUGAUUGUCUCGUCAAGAGUACAAAAACAACACUUCUUACUUCCUGGCCAGUUGCGUCGUGCAAGGUUGUCUUUGGUUAGCACAAUACCUCUACGAAGAUACCACAUGAAUAUUUUAACUUUUAGUGGAAUCUUUGCCUUCCAGAUUUUCUUGUUAUUGCUCUCCGGUACCUCAGAAUGCGUGAGCGCACGAUACAUAGAGUCUACCGUGAAAGACCCUGAUGUAGUAAGGUUCCAGCGAAACACAUCACGCCCUUGCGUCAGGUUAAUCAGAUCCAGACGUGAUAACAGAUUAUGCCAUGACAUAAGUCGGGCGCCAACCAAAUCCCGCCUGAAUGAAAUAUUCGGCGGGGAUGAGCUGAGCACCUGCGCAAUAGUAUUGUUCUUAUCGCGAGCAAUGUUGUACAAGGCUGGAUAUUGUUUUCGGAGACUGGCAUUGCCUAGCCAGAUGUCUUCCCAGAAAUGAAUCUCUGACCCGUCCUUUAUCGUGAAAGACCCAAAGCGAAAGAGUUGUUUCUUUGCUGCCAUUAGGCCAGCCCAAAAGUGUGAGUCGCCAGGUUUCCAAUAUGCCUGAGACACCGCCUUUUGGCCUAGAUACUUGUUGCGCAGCAUGGUUUGCCAAACACCAUCCUCAGUAAGAAGUUUGAACAACCAUUUACUAAGUAGGGCCUCAUUCUUGACCUGCAGGUCAUGAAUUCCAAGGCCACCUUGGUCUUUCGGCCUACAAACCACGCUCCAUUUGGUCAGCCAGUAUUUUUUCUUUUCACCAUCUCCUUGCCAAAAGAAUCUAGACCUAAAAUAGUCCAAUCUUUGCAAGACCCCUUUUGGGAGUUGGAAGAAAGAAAGCAUAUAGAGAACCAUAUUUGUGAGGACAGAGUUUAUCAAAACCAGUCGUCCUCCAACUGAGAGCAACUUGCCUUUCCAACUGCUCAACCGUUUCUCUAGCCGCUCCUCUACAUGCUUCCACUCUGCAAUGGUGAGACGUCGAUAAUGACUAGGUAUUCCCAGAUAUUUGAUCGGGAAUUGGCCAAGUGCGCAACCAAACAGGUCCGCGUAAUCGGCCGCUGCCUCCACGGCUUCUCCAAAGCAGAACACUUCACUUUUAUGGAAGUUAAUUUUAAGACCUGACAUUUGCUCAAACGCUGACAACAGGAGUUUCAUGUUUCGAGCCUUGUCCAGGUCAUGUUCCAUAAAAAGUAUUGUGUCAUCAGCAUAUUGCAGAAUAGAGAGGCCACCAUCCACAAGGUGUGGCACUACCCCAGCAAUUUGCCCGUCCUGCUUGGCGCGCUCAAUCAGAAUAGCCAACAUGUCAGCCACAAUGUUAAAUAACAUUGGGGACAUGGGGUCACCCUGCCGUAGUCCUUUUUUUGUCUGGAAGUAAUGACCUACAUCAUCAUUGACUUUGAUGGCCACACUACCUCCAGUUACAAAAUUUUGGAUCCACUUGCACCAUUUUUCAGAGAAACCUUUCAUCCUUAGGGCCUGUUGGAGAAAAGACCAUUUGACCUUGUCAUAGGCUUUUUCAAAGUCAAUUUUGAAUACUACUCCACUUAGGUUUUUCCGAUGCAUCUCGUGGACGGUUUCAUGCAGGAUUACUACGCCAUCAAGUAUAUUCCUUCCUUGCAUGAAAGCCGUUUGAGAUGGUCGGACAACAUUGUUAGCUACCGAGUUAAGCCGAUUCGUAGCCACUUUGGUGAAAAUCUUGAAGCUGACAUUAAGGAGGCAUAUGGGUCUGAACUGCUGGAUCCGUUCAGCCUCCUUAAUCUUUGGCAACAAGACAAUCUCGCCAAAAUUAAACCUAAAUAGCUCAAGUCGGUCGGCAUGAAGACAAUUGAACAACUCCAUAAGGUCAUCCUUGAUGAUAUCCCAGAAAUUCUGAUAGAAUUCUGCGGGGAAACCAUUUGGGCCUGGAGCUUUGUUUUGUUCCAUUUGGAACACCGCAGCUUUCACCUCCUCUUCCGAGAAUGGUGCCGUCAGAAUAUCGUUUUCUUCUGCCGUGACUUGUGGAAUGUCAUCUGUUCGGGUCUCGUCGAGGGUGAAAUUCCCUUCAGCCGGCGCUCCGAACAGAGAUUUGUAGUAUUUGGUGAUAUAAUUUUUGAGCUCCUCUUGACCUUCGAUCCGCCCCUCAUCUUGUUGGAGACUAUAAAUACAUUUCUUCCUAUGCCGCCCAUUAGCGACCAAUUGGAAGUAUCUUGUAUUACUAUCACCCAUCAAAAUGAAAUCGGCUUUGGAUCUCUGGUAGUAUUUGAUCUCCUCUUCUCGCAGAAGACGGGCAGUCUUCUCAUUAGAUUGAUUUUUUAAUUCAAUCUCUUGUUGAGAUAAGAUGCGCGUCUCUGCAAUUUUGUCGAGGUCAUCAAUAAUGGUAGAGAGCCGUUGUUUUUCUUUUUUAUAAAUCCCGUUGGUAUGUUUUGCCCAUCCAGAGAGGUGUUGCCUCAUGGCCCUUAUUUUAAAGUUUCAUCUCUGAAUAUGUGUACGACCAACAGCGGGCCUCUCCCAAAUAUUCUUGAUCAUGUCUACAAAUCCAUCCCUAUGCAUCCAUCCCAAUUCAAAUUUGAAAGGGCGUCGGGUAGCUGGGUUCGUAGAAUUAGAAUCCAGAAUGAUGGGUGCAUGAUCCGAUAAAGCCUCAAUACGCUCUAGGGCUCGCACGGUUACCAGAGGAAAUUUUAAUUCCCAUUCGGUAUCCAUGAGUACCCUAUCAAGUUUCUCGUAUGUCGGCACAUGUCGGUUAUUAGCCCAAGUGAACUGCCGUCCUGACAUACUAGCCUCCCGAAGAUCCAAACUGUCUAUGACAGCAUUGAAUAGAAAAGGCCAAUGAGUGUCAAAACGGUCAUUAUUUUUCUCUUCCUGAUACCUAAGGAUAUUAAAGUCCCCUCCAAUAAGCAUUGGAUGCGGGUUAUCCUUAGCCAGAUUUACCAAUUCCCGAAGGAAAGCGGACUUAUGCUCAUCUUGGGCAGCCCCAUAGACCGCGACAAGAGUCCAUGUAAAAUUAUCAGCUCUGUUUCUUAGGUGAAAUUUUAUAUGAAAUUCACCGAUCGAAAAGGCUAACAAGUCCAUGACUGUUGUCAGUAUCCCAAGAAGGAUUCCUCCAGACCUUCCACGAGCUGGUAGACUAUGCCAUGUGUAGUCGAAACCACCUGAUAGGUGAUCGAGGACAUGCGGGCGAAAGUCACACUUACCAGCCUCGGAAAUUGCCACAAAAUCCAAACCAUGUUCCCGUACACAAUCACCUAUGUGUUUAUGUUUAGCCAAGUCCGAGAGACCUCUGCUAUUCCAAAACAUGCCUCUCAUGUGGAAACUCGGAUUGGUGUGGAACUCUUCGCCUUCUUGGGCGGCUUUUGUUUCUUUUUAGAGGCAUGUGAUUUAGAUUUCCGCGAAGACGCUGUGAAGUCACAUAACAUUGACCCAGGUCUUGCGUCAUCCAAUACAACCUCGGUAACCUCACCAACCAAGUGGGAGAUUAGCGGACCAUCAUAUUUGGCAUCCGCUUCAUCAUCGUCCUCGGUUUCUGGGUCAGGAAUGGUGGUAUUACACUUCGGAGAAACCUUUAAACGGUCGAUCUCCAUAUGUUUAAGUACCCCAACCGACAGAUUAAUAUCAUUAUCAUUCUUUCCCAUAGAGACCCCCACGUUAUAUAAGCUGUUAUUAAUGCGAGUAUCCGAAAAAGAAAGAAAUGAUUUAACGGGAGAGGUACCUGGCGUGGAGUCCAAAUUCCUCGAGGCCUGGCGGCGCAUUGCCUUCGCUAGUGCAUGCUCAUCUAUCGGAGAAGAACCAUCCGCCGAGACUGGGUGGCGAUUACUACGUCGAAGGGGCGAAGCCAAUCCUCCAGACAUAGUACCCUCCGGUGUUGCCGAGUGGGCCAUCGGUGAAGGCUGCGGAAUCACCCUUGUCCCAGAGGUCGGUGAAGAAGAACGUGUUGCCGGUCCCACCAAAUCAGUCGCAAUGGGUGUCGUGGCAGAAGGACCCGAACGAGCCGCCGGUGGACUGAGAGGAACUAUAGCGACCGGAGCGCGAACUGAGGAAGGUGUCGCAGACCCCGUCACCAUGCCUUGCACUUGUACGGGAGCAGAAGCGGGAGCAUGCAAAACAUGCGUUGCGCCCGCGUCCAUGGCUGACUGCCCGAGCGUCGCCUGCUCAAGGUCUGCCGGCUGAUGCACCUGAGACGGGACAACCGCUUGUGGGUUUAAGGGUGUGCAUGCACCCGCUGACCGCCCUGUAGCAGCGGCCACGGCUGGCUGCAUACGAGCGGCCACAUCAUGCACGUCUUGUGGCUGCAUGGUCUCUACCUGCACAUGCAUGUGUGUAGCUCCCUGGGCUGUAGGAGCGUUGGAUGUUGCCAAUGCUUGAGCAGACGCGGUUGGCACAAGAAAUGUAGCCGAAACAUCAACUGUAGCUGCAACGUCUUGCACAGGAUUAUGCAGAACAUUGACUUGUGGUGGCACUGUAGCAUGUUGAAAGCCCAAAUAAGUAGUCUGCAUGAGAACAACAGUGGAGACAGAUUGAGCUCCACACGUCGUAUUACCACCAUUCAUUUGGACCUUUUUUGCUCGCUUGCUAGCAUCCCUAUCUGGCAUAUCCUCAUCCCGGUUAGCACCAUCAUCAUGCCCAUCAUCAUGGUUUUCCCAAAUCCGAGGAAUAAAGUCAUCAUCCGGAACAAAAUCACCCUCCUCCAGCACAAACCGAAAGGCAUAUCCAUUAAGCUUGACAUAAACAUCAGAGGAGACCGAUCUUUCAUCAGACCCAUCAUGUUUGACGAAAAUAUCCAUGUUAUGAACAGCCACCUGGAUCCGCACAAUACCGUGACGGCGCAAGCAAACCAAGUCAACAUCCUGAGUGGCGCCAAUAACUGAUCCCACCGCCCACAGACCAAGGAAAUGGCGAAGAGCUGGCGGUACUCCGGUGACGUGCACCCAAACAGGCUGCAAGGGAAGUAGCGACGGAACCUCCUCGAUUUUCUGUUCACUAAAAGUGAUCUUCACGUCAUGUGAUUUAACAUUAUACUCAAACGCUGCCACACGCUGCAAAAUUUCCACUGAAGGGAAAGAAACCAAGAAAGCAUUUGCUCCAUGAGGCAUGGCUUCCCACUUCCACGAAGUUUGGACCGCAGCGAUCUUUGCAACCUCAGCCUCCACCACAGAAGAAGACAAGGAACCACCCGAAAUCGUAACCAAAGCAGUCGGCAAAGUAGGUGGGGCAAGAUUCUCCUUAAAGAGUGAGUCCGGAAGCUGUACAAACAUUGCAUUAACUAAACCACAACCACCGAGGGAGGCGGUUGGCCUUGGUUGCUUGAGAACCGGGCAGCGGUGCAGAGGAUGCCUGUAGUUGUUACAAAUGUGACGGUAAUGAACCACCGUGCAAUCCUUAGACAUAUGAUCAUCUGACCUGCAUUUAAAACACCAAAAACCAGUCUUUUUACCCUUCGGUAGAUGUCCAGUAGUGUCAAUAGUGGUUGGCGUCGCCGCAUUAGCGUGUAUGGCUGAUUGAGUUUGAGCAUUGGGGGCCGCCGUCACUGACGCCGGCGGGAACGCCGGCGUAGAACGCGCAGCCGCGGGGGCAGCGCCGGCAAUAGCAUCACGAUGUCCCCCCUUGCGCUUGCUCUUGGGACGCCGGGCGGGAGGUGCAUCCGGCGCUUGCUGGUUGUUAACACCAAAGAUGACCGGUGCCGGAGCCGAGGCCCGCUGGACGGACGGGACAGCGGUGGAGGUCGACGCCAGCAAUGCUCCGAAGCGAAUAGGUCCAGCAGCCACACCAAAGCCGGCCGAGAGUCCAGGGUUUGAUGCAAAAGCUGGACCUGUUUGUCCCACGGGUGGAGCCCCCUUGGACGGCAAGAUAGAAGCUGUCGCAGUGUCGCGGCUAGCACCGCCCGCCUCCGGCGCGCUGCACCGCCUGUUGCUGUGGUUUUCCCUGCCGCUAAUGUGAUUUUUUUUUUGAAUUUUCGCUAAUGUGAUUGAAAAAUAGAGAACAAUGGAUAGGCGAAGCUUUCCCUGCACUUAGUACGCAUAGGUGAAGCUGGAUAACUCGUAUACUUCAAACUUCACUACGUGCAUAUGCAAUAUCCGGAUAGGUCAGUACUAGCUGGCUAGUACAGAGGUCGACGAAGCAAUGGAGUUUGCUUCCUCGCAUCUUCAAGAGUUACCUUGGCCUGGGCUUCGGCGCGCCGGAGGCGGGCGGCUGUAACGGCGUAGCCGUGAUGGCUCAUGGCUCCUGUCUUGGCGCCGGGGUUCUCCAGCCACAGUCCGAUGCGACGGACCUUACCGCGUCGGAAUCCCCGUCCCACGGAGUAAAUUAGAAGGAAAUUGUUUAUGAGUGAUGGGGUCCAUCAAGACAGCUGUUGGCGUUUGAUUGGCCCUGCAGGCUACUGCGUGCAGGGAACCCAGCACGAGAGCCGACCCCAAGUAAUGAUGAUGAUUUCUGUCUAGUCUGUGUUGGGCUAAUGUGGUCUCGCCGAAUAAUUAGCAUGUGCUGCCCAAAUCUCGCCUUUUUUUUUGUUUGAGACAAGCCCAAAUCUCGCCUGCCAGUUGAGGCCUUCGAUUUUGGAUUCACGUUCUGAUUUUGACUGGGCCGUCGACUGGGUUCACGGGCUCCGCUUGUUCACACAGCGUCUCGAUGCCCCGCGUGGCGCGUCGCUCGGCCCCACCCCACGCCCCCAAUCUCGCCUG